rnacentral:rRNA from 1 species
GAUGAACGCUGGCGGCGUGCCUAAUACAUGCAAGUCGAGCGAACAGACGAGGAGCUUGCUCCUCUGACGUUAGCGGCGGACGGGUGAGUAACACGUGGAUAACCUACCUAUAAGACUGGGAUAACUUCGGGAAACCGGAGCUAAUACCGGAUAAUAUAUUGAACCGCAUGGUUCAAUAGUGAAAGACGGUUUUGCUGUCACUUAUAGAUGGAUCCGCGCCGCAUUAGCUAGUUGGUAAGGUAACGGCUUACCAAGGCAACGAUGCGUAGCCGACCUGAGAGGGUGAUCGGCCACACUGGAACUGAGACACGGUCAAGCCUCUGACGGGAGGCAGCAGUAGGGAAUCUUCCGAAAUGGGCGAAAGCCUGACGGAGCAACGCCGCGUGAGUGAUGAAGGUUUUCGGAUCGUAAAACUCUGUUAUUAGGGAAGAACAAAUGUGUAAGUAACUAUGCACGUCUUGACGGUACCUAAUCAGAAAGCCACGGCUAACUACGUG